rnacentral:rRNA from 1 species
UACAGAGGUCCCAAGCGUUGUUCGGAUUCAUUGGGCGUAAAGGGUGCGUAGGCGGCGAGGCAAGUCGGAUGUGAAAUCCCGGGGCUCAACUCCGGAACUGCAUUCGAUACUGCUUUGCUAGAGUACUGGGGAGGAGACUGGAAUUUACGGUGUAGCAGUGAAAUGCGUAGAUAUCGGAAGGAAGACCAGUGGCGAAGGCGAGUCUCUGGACAGUUCCUGACGCUGAGGCACGAAGGUCAGGGGAGCAAACGGG